rnacentral:rRNA from 1 species
AACCAGUACCGUGAGGGAAAGGCGAAAAGAACCCCGGAGAGGGGAGUGAAAUAGAACCUGAAACCGUGUACGUACAAGCAGUCGGAGCCUCCAUGUGGGGUGACGGCGUACCUUUUGUAUAAUGGGUCAGCGACUUAAUUUCAGUAGCGAGGUUAACCGUUUAGGGGAGCCGUAGGGAAACCGAGUCUUAAUAGGGCGUUUAGUUGCUGGGAUUAGACCCGAAACCGGGCGAUCUAUCCAUGGGCAGGUUGAAGAUGCGGUAACACGCAUUGGAGGACCGAACCGACUACCGUUGAAAAGUUAGCGGAUGACCUGUGGAUCGGAGUGAAAGGCUAAUCAAGCUCGGAGAUAGCUGGUUCUCCCCGAAAGCUAUUUAGGUAGCGCCUCGGACGAAUACCACUGGGGGUAGAGCACUGUUUCGGCUAGGGGGUCAUCCCGACUUACCAAACCGAUGCAAACUCCGAAUACCAGUGAGUACUAUCCGGGAGACACACGGCGGGUGCUAACGUCCGUCGUGAAGAGGGAAACAACCCAGACCGCCAGCUAAGGUCCCCAAAUUCCAGUUAAGUGGGAAACGAUGUGGGAAGGCUCAGACAGCUAGGAGGUUGGCUUAGAAGCAGCCACCCUUUAAAGAAAGCGUAAUAGCUCACUAGUCGAGUCGGCCUGCGCGGAAGAUGUAACGGGGCUCAAACUGGAUACCGAAGCUGCGGCUGCAUACUAUGUAUGCGGGGUAGGGGAGCGUUGUGUAAGUCUGUGAAGGUGUGUUGAGAAGCAUGCUGGAGAUAUCACAAGUGCGAAUGCUGACGUGAGUAACGAUAAUGGGAGUGAAAAACUCCCACGCCGAAAGACCAAGGUUUCCUGCGCAACGCUAAUCGGCGCAGGGUGAGUCGGCCCCUAAGGCGAGGCAGAAAUGCGUAGCUGAUGGGAAACGGGUUAAUAUUCCCGUACUUCUUAUAACUGCGAUGGAGAGACGGAGAAGGCUAUGCCUACCGGGCGUUGGUUGUCCCGGGGAAAGGCUGUAGGCUGAGGUGUUAGGCAAAUCCGGCACCUUAAGGCUGAGAGUCGAGACCACUGGUCCUUUGUGACCGGGAAGUGGUUGAUGCCAUGCUUCCAGGAAAAUCUUCUAAGCUUCAGGUUAUAAGGAACCGUACCCCAAACCGACACAGGUGGUUGGGAUGAGUAUUCUAAGGCGCUUGAGAGAACUCGGGUGAAGGAACUAGGCAAAGUGGUACCGUAACUUCGGGAGAAGGUACGCCGCUGAAGGUGAUGAGACUUGCUCUCUGAGCUAUCGGCGGUCGCAGUGAAAAGGCCCCUGCAACUGUUUAUUAAAAACACAGCACUCUGCAAACGCGUAAGCGGACGUAUAGGGUGUGACGCCUGCCCGGUGCCGGAAGGUUAAUUGAUGGGGUUAGCUUCGGCGAAGCUCUUGAUCGAAGCCCCGGUAAACGGCGGCCGUAACUAUAACGGUCCUAAGGUAGCGAAAUUCCUUGUCGGGUAAGUUCCGACCUGCACGAAUGGCGUAAUGAUGGGGGCGCUGUCUCCACCCGAGACUCAGUGAAAUCGAAAUCGCAGUGAAGAUGCUGUGUACCCGCGGCUAGACGGAAAGACCCCGUGAACCUUUACUAUAGCUUCACAGUGGACUUUGAACCUGUUUGUGUAGGAUAGCUGGGAGACUUUGAAGCAGUGACGCUAGUUACUGUGGAGUCGUCCUUGAAAUACCAGCCUGGCAUGUUUGAGGUUCUAACCUAGGUCCCUUAUCGGGAUCGGGGACAUUGUGUGGUGGGUAGUUUGACUGGGGCGGUCUCCUCCCAAAGAGUAACGGAGGAGCACAAAGGUACCCUCAGCACGGUCGGACAUCGUGCAACGAGCGUAAAGGUAGAAGGGUGCUUGACUGCGAGACCUACAAGUCGAGCAGGUGCGAAAGCAGGUCUUAGUGAUCCGGUGGUUCUGUAUGGAAGGGCCAUCGCUCAACGGAUAAAAGGUACU